rnacentral:snRNA from 1 species
GUGCUCGCUUUGGCAGCACAUACACUAAAAUUGGAAUGAUACAGAGAAGAUUAGCAUGGCCCCUGUGCAAGGAUGACAUGCAAAUUCGUGAAGCGUUCCAUAUUUUU